UACGUAGGGGGCAAGCGUUGUCCGGAUUCAUUGGGCGUAAAGAGCGUGUAGGCGGUCAGGUAGGUCGGUUGUGAAAACUGGAGGCUCAACCUUCAGAGGUCGACCGAAACCAUCUGGCUAGAGUCCGGGAGAGGAGAGUGGAAUUCCUGGUGUAGCGGUGAAAUGCGCAGAUAUCAGGAAGAACACCCGUGGCGAAAGCGGCUCUCUGGAACGGUACUGACGCUGAGACGCGAAAGCGUGGGGAGCGAACAGG
rnacentral:rRNA from 1 species